GAGCUAGAUAGCUGCUUUACUUAUAUAAAAUUUUUGAGUUGAGAGGAAAGUCCGGGCUUCACAGGAUCAGGAUGCUGGAUAACAUCCAGCGAGGGUGACCUUAGGGAAAGUGCCGCAGAAAUAAAACCGCCUUAGCUGAAUAGAUAAGGUAAGGGUGAAAUGGUGUGGUAAGAGCACACCGCAGUGUUGGUAACAAUACUGGUCAGGGUAAACCCCAUCCGAAGCAAGAUCAUAUAGGGGCAUAUGCAUUUAAUAGCACUGGUGAUCCUGCCAGAUGCCCGGGUAGAUCGCUAAAACCUGUUGGUAACAAUAAGGUUCAGAUGAAUAGCUAUCAAAGAAGUUAUCUUCAAACAGAACCCGGCUUACAGGCUCUCUGA
rnacentral:RNase_P_RNA from 1 species